UGCGUACGCAUAAUAUCAACGUCGCUAGGGUGCGUGUCACAGAUUUUGAGCUUUUUUGGUUCAAGUUGAUUGUAACAAAUAAUAUAUUAUUGUAACACGCACUCAAAAUAGUAGGCGAUACUUAAUCACCUAAGUUUGCAAACGAAUAUUCACUGAAAUUAACGCUCAUAAAAAGCGACGAGGCAUUUAUUAGGAACGCUUAAAAUCAAUAGCAGACGGAUGCGGUAGUUUACCCGAUACAACACUAACCUACGAUGUCUAUUCCAUUUCAUUAAAUUAAAAUAUCACAAUAUUUACAUAUUACUCAGGACUAUUCAAUAAUAUCAAUAUUACUAUGUGACACAAAGUUUUAAAUAUCUAGCUGUCGACACCAAUAAAAAUUGCGUUGUGCGACAUUUCGACGAAAAUUAAUGUACCAAAAUACAAACUAAACUAACUGACAGGUCGAAAUCUGUUGCUAUCCCUUUCCAUGAUGCUCCCUACGAAAACAGAUAGCAUGAGAUUACGACCUGUCAAUUUGUUUAAAUAUUGUGUACGGUCAGAAUUAGUCUGUGGACGUCUUUACGUUGAAAAAUAUUCUGAUUUGCGGCGAAAGCAAUCACGUCGCAUACAAAUUUCAAUACACGACUCAAAUUUUAUUGGUGUGGACGCGGCUUCUGAUUUUAAUUAUUCAAGAUAUUACACAGAUCCCAAAAACUAGUAGAUGCGAAUAGCCGCCAGAAUAGUGGAGAUGAGACCUAACUAUUAAUACGUGAAUGGGGAUGAAUGACUUAGUGGAGUUGUCGAAAGUCACCGUCGUUACACUUACAAUAUUUCUUUAUUUUUAUAUAUAUUUGAUUUUAAGCAUUGGUUUUGAAUAAAAACCAUAAAACUUAUUUGUCUUGAGGCCAAAUGCCCACUUGCAACGCAACUUCUAGCAGAAGUCAGCCUUUUAACCCCCGACACAAACAAGCAUCGAAGCACUUAAACGCAUUGACCGAUUUGGAUACGGUUUCUUCGAUUCGAAAGCAUCUUUAAUCAAGAUAGUUCUUUGCUAUGUUUGAUGAGAAUCUGUUCAACCGUUGUUUCAAAUGUUUUCUCAGCCAGUUUAGGGAUCUCAGUCAUCCAGUUGAUGUUUAUAUUACUUGCUUAUGGAUACUUAUCUUAUGGAUUCGAUUCUGACUACAAAGCAAUUUUAUGGUAACUGGUGGGCUGAGUUAAAUUUUUAAUUUACACUUUGUUGCACUGUAAACACUCACAGUAAAUCAACUUCUGCUUGCAGAAGUUGACAGGACAAUGACAGCGACAAGAAAACUUGCCAGUGGACACUUGGCAUAAAUUAUUUCGACUAGCAGCAUACUAAGGGAUAGCGUCCACCAGGCGGGCCGGGUCGGCCGCA